GAUGAACGCUGGCGGCGUGCUUAACACAUGCAAGUCGAACGAAGAUGCCGGAGUGCUUGCACUUUGGCAGACUGAGUGGCGGACGGGUGAGUAACGCGUGGGUAACCUGCCUUAUACAGGGGGAUAACAGUUGGAAACGACUGCUAAUACCGCAUAAGCGCACGGUAUCGCAUGAUACAGUGUGAAAAACUCCGGUGGUAUAAGAUGGACCCGCGUCUGAUUAGCUUGUUGGUGAGGUAACGGCCCACCAAGGCGACGAUCAGUAGCCGACCUGAGAGGGUGACCGGCCACAUUGGGACUGAGACACGGCCCAGACUCCUACGGGAGCAGCAGUGGGGAAUAUUGCACAAUGGAGGAAACUCUGAUGCAGCGACGCCGCGUGAAGUGAAGAAGUAGUUCGCUAUGUAAAGCUCUAUCAGCAGGGANAAGAAAUGAGGUACCUGACUAAGAAGCACCGGCUAAA
rnacentral:rRNA from 1 species